rnacentral:misc_RNA from 1 species
ACAAACUUGGUCAUUUAGAGGAAGUAAAAGUCGUAACAAGGUUUCCGUAGGUGAACCUGCGGAAGGAUCAUUACAGUAUCUCUGGGCGUCCGGCCCGCGCCCUGCUCCGUCCGAAAGGGCGUGCAGCGGGCGCUCGUCGGCGCUCGACCUUCACAAACCCCACCGUGCACCUUCACGGCAGAAGGCGCCCGGGCGAGAGCCUGGUGCGUCGGACGCUGUCUCACUAAACACGACAGUCGACAGUAUGAACGCGGCCUCUGCGUCGCCCAAUGAAACUUAACAACUUUCAACAACGGAUCUCUUGGCUCUCGCAUCGAUGAAGAACGCAGC